rnacentral:lncRNA from 1 species
CCUCCUCUCUCGUACGAUAUGCUUCACCAUGGAAGAUCCACCGGGUAUAGUCUGUCAUAAAUCCAUUCUUCCAAAUAUGUUCUCCCAUGGCAUUCUUUGUUUGUCUUUUCCUAUUUGCACAUUUGUUGCACGAACAUGGGACUAGACUCGCUCCUUUAGCAGCUUUGCCAAAUACUCAUUCCAAGAAAGCAUUGGUCUUUGUAAUUCAUUCAAGGGUGACAUCUUUUCUUCUUAUGUGGCCUGUGUACAUCUACUCACGGUCCUCCAUCCUCUAACAUAGAUAAUAGCAUAGUGUAAUAUAAACAUGUAAUGCAUCUACAGUAUGUUCCUACCUUCUAAUUGGUGAGGAUAGGUCGUAAUUCCACCCACGGUUGCAUAGGUGGGGUUAGUUUCCAUUCUCUACUCUGAUUCGGGAUAGAAUUUUGGUAGCACAUCCCCGCUGUUCUCCAAAUAUACAUCCUUGUAGGGAGUGUGUGUAUCUAGAGAACAACAAGGAGGUGCUGCCAAAACUCUGUCUCGGACAGGAG